AUUUAUAUAGUUUAAUAAAAACAUUACAUUUUCAUUGUAAAAUUAAAAUAUUUUUUUAUAAAUA
rnacentral:tRNA from 1 species